GUAGAGGUGGCUCAGAGGUUAAGAGCACUGGCUGAUCUUGCAGAGGAUCUGAGUUCAAAUCCCAGCACUCACA
rnacentral:tRNA from 1 species